UGCAAGUUGAACGGUAACAUGUCCAGCAAUGGAUGAUGACRAGUAGCGCACGGGUGCGUAACACGUAUGCAACCUACCUUUGACUGGGGAAUAGCCCCGAGAAAUCGGGAUUAAUGCCCCAUAAAAUUACGGAAAGGCAUCUUUUUGUAAUUAAAGCUCCGGCGGUCUUAGAUGGGCAUGCGCGACAUUAGCUAGUUGGUGAGGUAACGGCUCACCAAGGCUACGAUGUCUAGGGGUUCUGAGAGGAUUCACCCCCACACUGGUACUGAGACACGGACCAGACUCCUACGGGAGGCAGCAGUAAGGAAUAUUGGUCAAUGGGCGCAAGCCUGAACCAGCCAUGCCGCGUGCAGGAAGACGGCCCUAUGGGUUGUAAACUGCUUUUGUACGGGAAAAAACCUCCGGUCGUGUACCGGAGCUGAUGGUACCGUAAGAAUAAGCAUCGGCUAACUCCGUGCCAGCAGCCGCGGUAAUACGGAGGAUGCAAGCGUUAUCCGGAUUCAUUGGGUUUAAAGGGUGCGCAGGCGGAACGAUAAGUCAGUGGUGAAAUCCUGCAGCUUAACUGCAGAACUGCCAUUGAUACUGCCGUUCUUGAGUAUAGUUGAAGUGGGCGGAAUGUGUCAUGUAGCGGUGAAAUGCUUAGAUAUGACACAGAACACCGAUCGCGAAGGCAGCUCGCUAAGCUAUAACUGACRCUCAUGCACGAAAGCGUGGGGAUCAAACAGGAUUAKAUACCCUGGUAGUCCA
rnacentral:rRNA from 1 species